rnacentral:ncRNA from 1 species
CGUCCGGUUUUCGGCGGGAAAUGUUUUUAAGGGCUAGAUAGAAUAAAUACAUUUAAGAUGAUACACUUCAGACUUGAAAGAGAGUUGACAAAAGUAUCCGCACGUUGCUGACGGGUUAAUAAGCAAUAGGGCGAAAGUAGGUAAAGUGACACCCCAAGACCUUCAAAAUGACACUCCCUAAAAGUGUCGGGCUAAGUCCUUAUAAAAGGAUAUGUCAAAACGGGGCGAGGUAGGCUGAUAGCGACGUGACGAGGACACGAACAAGACCCGAAAGGGUAGCAGGUAGGGCAUGCAGACGCCUGUAAAAAGUUCGUUCAAGACUUGAGAUAGUCUUGAAGUUUUAACCC